GGUUGUAAAGCUCUUUUACCAGGGAUGAUAAUGACAGUACCUGGAGAAUAAGCUCCGGCUAACUCCGUGCCAGCAGCCGCGGUAAUACGGAGGGAGCUAGCGUUGUUCGGAAUUACUGGGCGUAAAGCGUACGUAGGCGGCUAUUCAAGUCAGGGGUGAAAGCCUGGAGCUCAACUCCAGAACUGCCCUUGAAACUAGAUAGCUAGAAUCUUGGAGAGGUGAGUGGAAUUCCGAGUGUAGAGGUGAAAUUCGUAGAUAUUCGGAAGAACACCAGUGGCGAAGGCGACUCACUGGACAAGUAUUGACGCUGAGGUACGAAAGCGUGGGGAGCAAACAGGAUUAGAUACCCUGGUAGUCCACGCCGUAAACGAUGAUAACUAGCUGUUCGGGCUCUACGAGCUUGAGUGGCGCAGCUAACGCAUUAAGUUAUCCGCCUGGGGAGUACGGUCGCAAGAUUAAAACUCAAAGGAAUUGACGGGGGCCUGCACAAGCGG
rnacentral:rRNA from 1 species